GUGGAUAUAUGGCUGUUGGACAUGGAUCAGAGAGAGGUUUCCAUUCUAGCCAGAAAGUACUGUGAGGACAUAAAAAGGGAAAAUGGACCUAUCAUUCUGUUGAACCAUAUGCUUCCUGACUUACUAGAAUACCCUGAAAUUGCGGAGAAGUUAGAUCAUGCACGUGCUAUCUCUAUGGAAGAUACUGAGUUUUGAAGGGCGUAGCCAAAAAGUUCAGUCACAACUUCUUGAUUAUUAUCAAGUUACCAGUGUGAUCUUUGAAUAAACUCAUCUAAAGCAAAGAAAGGACUAUUGUGAAAGGAGGGGUGAAGGUGAAAGAGAAUAGUGGAAAAUUGGCACUACAGACAUGGUUUCUGACAUGGGUUAUCACUGAUUUGGGAGUAUGACUAGUGAAAGGCAAUAUAAGAGAAGUUAUUGUGUUUUGGCCUCAGACUCAUGAUUUCAGUUCGUAUAUAUGUGUGCUGGGAUGAUGUAAAUUUAAAGGUAAUGGUUAGAGCUUUCUGCCCUCCACAAGCAGUUAAACACAACCCGUGUUUGGAGUAUAUCAAAUAUCUUAUUCUCCCCUGGUUUGGAGAAUUUGAAGUGGUCCAAGAGCGAAAUGGUCUUCACGGGUAAAUCUCGUUGAACUACAAGCAUGGCCACACUUUUUAUCUCUGCCUUAUGUCGAGUUAGAUAAUUUAUUUUGGUGCCAUCACAAAGAUAUAAGCAUUGGAAAAUAUCAUGUAAUGCUAGUCUUGCACUGGCAAGUGGGCCAUGAGGCCACAUGUCAGUGAUGUGUGGAUGGUAUUUUCCAACCGGAGUGAUCUUUGCAAUGGUACUGAGCAAGACACCCAUAAAGUAUACCUAACCAAAUUAGUGCGCGAUGAAGUUACACUUUGUGUUCUGAUAAACUGCUUCUUUACGAAGGAUAUUUUUUUUUUGAAAACGGGCAAAAGAUUUGCCACGUAUAUUAAUUAAGAGAGAAUAGAGUUUGUGUUACAAACACCCCUUAACAAUAUACGGAAGAAUCACUCUCCCGGCAUGAUGGACCCUAGCUUCUUAGCUCCGGCGGCGACCCAAAAUGAUGCCUCCCUUUUGAUGUUGUCGAGAAGAACCGUAGGCGGAGCUGCCAUGUUGCGGAAUACACGAGCGUUUCGCUCGUUCCAGAUUGUCCAUGCAGUGAGCAUGGUGAGCGAGGCCAUGGCCUUCCGGUUGGGGACGGAAGCAUCAGUCAACCCAAGCCACCAUUCUAAGGUGGAAUGCCUCAGGGGCGAGGAUAUUUACAAACAUGGAAAUGCUUAUUGCUGAUUAUAAACAUGGUGCUCUGCGUGCUCCUGACAUGAAAUUGGCCCUUGAAAAGGCAAUAAACAAAAU